rnacentral:rRNA from 1 species
AAUCAACGCUGGCGGCGUGCCUCAGACAUGCAAGUCGAACGCGAAAGGCCCCUUCGGGGGCUGAGUAGAGUGGCGUCCGGGUGAGUAACACGUGGGUAAUCUACCUUCGGGUGGGGAAUAACAGUCGGAAACGACUGCUAAUACCGCAUAAUGCAGCGGCACCUAAUGGUGACAGUUGUUAAAGCGGGGAUCGCAAGACCUCGCGCCUGAAGAGGAGCCCGCGGCGGAUUAGCUAGUUGGCAGGGUAACGGCCUACCAAGGCGACGAUCCGUAGCCGGCCUGAGAGGGCGGUCGGCCACACUGGCACUGACACGGACCAGGACUCCUACGGGAGGCAGCAGUGAGGAAUAUUGGACAAUGGGCGCAAGCCUGAUCCAGCCAUGCCGCGUGCAGGAUGAAAGCAUCUAUGGUGUGUAAACUGCUUUUAUACGAGAAGAAACACUCCUUCGUGAAGGAGCUUGACGGUAU